rnacentral:tRNA from 1 species
GCACCCAUAGCUCAGCUGGAUAGAGCGCUGCCCUCCGAAGGCAGAGGCCAGAGGUUCGAAUCCUCUUGGGUGCA